rnacentral:rRNA from 1 species
GCGCGCAAAUUACCCAAUCCUGACACAGGGAGGUAGUGACAAGAAAUAACAAUACAGGGCUAAUGUCUUGUAAUUGGAAUGAUGGUGACCCAAACCCUCACCAGAGUAGCAAUUGGAGGGCAAGUCUGGUGCCAGCAGCCGCGGUAAUUCCAGCUCCAAUAGCGUAUAUUAAACUUGUUGCAGUUAAAAAGCUCGUAGUUGAAUUUUAGCGUGUUCGAGUUUGCCAUUCGUUUGGCUUUUUCGAGUUCGCUUUUGGGUUUUCCCUUUUUACUUUGAGAAAAUUAGAGUGUUUCAAGCAGACUUUUGUCUUGAAUACUUCAGCAUGGAAUAAUAGAGUAGGACUUUGGUUCUAUUUUGUUGGUU